UACGAAGGGGGCUAGCGUUGCUCGGAAUCACUGGGCGUAAAGGGUGCGUAGGCGGGUCUUUAAGUCAGGGGUGAAAUCCUGGAGCUCAACUCCAGAACUGCCUUUAAGACUGCAUCGCUUGAAUCCAGGAGAGGUGAGUGGAAUUCCGAGUGUAGAGGUGAAAUUCGUAGAUAUUGGGAAGAACACCAGUGGCGAAGGCGGCUAACUGGUCCGGUACUGACGCUGAGGUGCGAAAGCGUGGGGAGCAAACAGG
rnacentral:rRNA from 1 species